rnacentral:rRNA from 1 species
GACAGAGGAGCCAAGCGUUGUCCGGAUUGACUGGGCGUAAAGCGCACGCAGGCGGCCGUGCACGUGGGGUGUGAAAGCUGGCGGCUUAACUGCCAGACGCCACCUCAUACGGCACGGCUCGAGCCCGUGAGAGGUCCACGGAAUUGCCGGUGUAGUGGUGAAAUGUGUUGAUAUUGGAAGGAACACCGGAGGCGAAAGCGGUGUACUGGGGCUGGUCUGACGCUGAGGCACGAAAGCCAGGGGAGCGAACGGG